rfam:Mus musculus protein kinase inhibitor p27kip gene, 5' flanking region.
CCACCUUAAGAGCGCGUCGCAGCCUGGGGAGGCUCCCGGCACCGAGACCAAUG